rnacentral:rRNA from 1 species
GUGCCAGCAGCCGCGGUAAUACGUAGGGUGCGAGCGUUAAUCGGAAUUACUGGGCGUAAAGGGUGCGCAGGCGGUUGAGUAAGACAGAUGUGAAAUCCCCGAGCUUAACUCGGGAAUGGCAUAUGUGACUGCUCGACUAGAGUGUGUCAGAGGGAGGUGGAAUUCCACGUGUAGCAGUGAAAUGCGUAGAUAUGUGGAAGAACACCGAUGGCGAAGGCAGCCUCCUGGGACAUAACUGACGCUCAGGCACGAAAGCGUGGGGAGCAAACAGGAUUAGAUACCCUGGUAGUCCACGCCCUAAACGAUGUUAACUAGUUGUUGGGAAGUAAAAUUCUCAGUAACGCAGCCAACGCGAGAAGUUAACCGCCUGGGAAGUACGGUCGCAAGACUAAA